rnacentral:rRNA from 9 species
AAAUUGAAGAGUUUGAUCAUGGCUCAGAUUGAACGCUGGCGGCAGGCCUAACACAUGCAAGUCGAACGGUAACAGGAAGCAGCUUGCUGCUUCGCUGACGAGUGGCGGACGGGUGAGUAAUGUCUGGGAAACUGCCUGAUGGAGGGGGAUAACUACUGGAAACGGUGGCUAAUACCGCAUAACGUCGCAAGACCAAAGAGGGGGACCUUCGG